UUACACAAGAAAAAGUUAAAAAAAACACCAUGACUGCUAUUUUGAACCUGAACCUAAAACACAAGAUUACAAACCCUUUCAUGGCCUUCUUCUUCUACAGAUAAGAGGAAUCAACAAAAACCCUAGAACCCCAUACCCUAAGCCGCCGCACCCCACCCCUGUAUCUCGUCGCCCUCAUACCACUCCCAUUACCAACUCGCCGGAAAACACUUCCCAUCAGUGACAUCUGCUGCUGUCCCUCACUCCUCGCUGCCUGAUCUCACGGCAGCCACUAGUGUCGCUGUUUGCCUCUUCACCUCACCGCCCAAACACAAGCUGCUGCUUCUUUAUGCCUCUGUUCCUUCACACACGCAAGCACAAGCAAAAAAUGAUGAGGAGAGCAAACAUUUCAGUUUCUUCGUUCAGUCUUUUGCUUCAAACAACAGUCAGUUUGAAUCUAAUAGCUAUUUCAGCUUGAUUCGGAGUGUCGUCCGAGGUUCGUCGAGUUCCGGCAAGCUUUGAAGUCGAGGUUUUCGUUUCCGGUUCCGCUCAUUGUCGGGUUUUAAAAUAGUAAAACAGAUCCUUCAUGUGAGGUCCUCCCUUCAUCUUUGCUUCUUCUAUAUGAUUUGAUAUUUAUUUAACUGAUCAUCCUAGCAAGAUUUUAUAUGCUUGUGUGAAGUUGAUUCUAUGUUGGAUUUAUUUGCUCUUAAUGCUUGAACGUGCUCUAUUUUUAUCUUCUUAUACUUGUUCACUGAUAUUUAGGUAUGCUGCAUGGUUAAGGAAAUACAGUAGGAUCUUGUUCUAUUUUAAUUAGAUACAUAAGUAAAAUGAGUAUUUCAUUGAGUAAGUGGCCAUGGGGUUGGGUAAUGCAAAUUGAAGAGAAUGAUUUGGACACGUAGGUUGCUGCGAGAUUAAAAUUAACGGUAUUUGGUCUUAAGAUCCCGUUACCUCGCCUUGGAAUAGAAUCAAAGAGGAUAGGGUGAGUGGAAUAUGUAGGCGAUUCCCAUUGUUAUUGUUCUAUUCUAUUGACUCGACAAUAGUUUCCUUAGGUCCCUUACCACUUGGGUAGGCAAGCCUUAGGAGUUAGUUUAUUAAUUUGAGGCGAGAUGUCGUUUCCGUAGUUAAAUUUAUUCGAGGAAUGCACCGUGGAGUUUGUAUAUAUUAUUAUCAGGGGUAUGCCCCGAGAACUAUAUAAAUAUUUGGAGGCCUUGGCGAGCAUGGUGGAGAAGUCAUAGUAUAUGUUAGCUUAGGAUUUUUCUUUUCUUCUAAUUUUCAUUUUCUUUCAUUUAGGUGGGGACGACCUUGAGCCUCUUGUGUGUUUACUUUAUUUAUGUGUGUUUUACCUUAAUCGAAUAUUUUAAAGCCAACUUGAUCAUGUACGCAACUGUGACCUUCAUGGGACUCUGGAAAUGCCUAACACCUUCUCCUCGAGUCAAAUGAACCCCCUUACCCUAAUUUCUGGUGCAGACUUAGUUUUGAGUCCAAGUGUUUUAAAAGGAAAAAUACUUUCUAAAAAAUCGGUGGCCUGGCACACCGAAAUCAAAUGCGAUGUGGCGACUCUGAGUUAUUUUCUUUUAAUACAAUUUUCGUCACUUUAAAAAUUGAAAAACCCUUUUCAAGCUUUUACUUAAAUCAUUUUAUUUAUUUAAGAGGAUUGAGUAGAGUUUGGUAAAAAAAAGGGGUGUGACAACUGUCUCUGGAAAUGCAUGAAAGAAACAAGAAUAGUAGAUAGAAGGAGCCGUCAAGACAUGCAAACGCCUACAGGACUAACUCGGGUUGCCUGAUGAUCAAGAAUCUGCAAUCUCACUGCGGUCUAAAGCCCACAACGCUGGGGUCUUCACAAAAAAGUGCAGAGUGUAGUAUCAGUACAACAGACCCCAUGUGCUGGUAAGUGUCUAGCCUAACCUCGGCGAAGUAAUGCUAGGACCAAACCUCCAAAUAAACCUGUGCAGUUAUAUAAUAUACAACGGAAAGUAAAGCAGGAAUGAACAAGUAAAGAUGGGGAGGGGAAACAUGCUUCGGGGAAUAACAUGUAAAAACAGAAUAUCAAAAGAACUAUAAAGGAAUCAAAAUCUAGCAACUAACAAUAAUAAGGAAAACAAAGGCAAAUUUCAUUUUUUUCCCACAGAUUUUCAUAUUUAAGAUUUGCGCCUACUCUCCCGGACUACGCAUGCAAAUCGAGGUGAUGCUAAGAGAGGGAUUUAAGGCCUCAAAACAUAGAAUUUCAUUUCAAAACAAGUGAUGACCUUCUCCACUUCUAUAAUAAUCGUUCGUCCUUGAAUGGACAGAAGAAGGAAGUACCUAAUACGGGAAAAAGAUGGGGAUAACGACUCCACAUAUCUGACUCGGACUCCCAGGUUGAUGCCUCAGGAGGCUGACCUCUCCACUGAACAGGAACAGAAGGAAAACUCUUCGAUCUCUACUGAUGAACAUGCCGGUCUAAAAUAGCUACCGGCUCCUCCUCAUAAGACAAGUCCUUGUCCAACUGGACAGUGCUGAUAUCUAACAUGUGGGAUGUAUCGCCGUGAUAUUUCUGAAGCAUGGACACAUGAAACACUGGAUGCACGACUGAUAAGCUCGGCAACAAUGCACGUCUAUAAGCUAGCUCUUUCACUCGAUCAUGAAUCUCAAACGGGCCAAUGAACCUAGAGCUGAGCUUGCCCUUCUUCCCAAAUCUCAUCACGCCUUUCAUAGGAGACACUCAAAGAAAUAGCUGCUCACCGACCAUGAAAUCCAAAUCUCGAACCUUGCGGUCACCAUAACUCUUUUGCCUGGACUGAGCAGUACGAAGCAUAUCUUGAAUGAUCUUGACCUUGUCCAAGGCAUCCUGAACCAGAUCCGUACCCAACAACCGAGCCUCUCCCCACUCAAACCAUCCAACAGGAGACCGACACCGCCUGCCAUAUAAAGCCUCAUAAGGAGCCAUCUGGAUACUCGACCGAUAGUUAUUAUUGUGGGUAAACUCCAAUAAAGGCAAAAACUGAUCCCAUGAGCCUCCAAAGUCAAUAACACAAGCUCUGAAUAUAGUACCAGGAACUAUGGGCCUUCUCUAAAAUCAAUUGUCGGAGUGUAUCCAUGUUAGGCACACAAACUCGACCCUGCAAUCUCAAAUCUCCAUAAUCACCCAAGGUAACUUGCUUGGAACCUUCGUGCUGCAUCGUGUAUUUGAGGACACUCAAAUGUGGAUUAUCAUACUACCGAUCUCGGAUACGCUCCAAUAAUAAAGAACGAGCGACUGUGCAAGCUAACAAACAGCUGGGCUCGGAAACAUCCAACCUCAUAAAAUGAUUAGCCAGAUCCUAAAUAUCCAAAGCAAACGGUCUCUCAUUGACCGAAAUAUAAGCAAGAGUGCUCAUACUGGUUGACUACCUACUCAAAGCAUCAGCUACCACAUUGGCCUUUCCCAAAUCACAUCACGCCUUUCAUAGGCGACACUCGAAGAAAUAACUCACCGACCAUGAAAUCCAAAUCUCGAACCUUGCGGUCAGCAUAACUCUUUUGCCUGGACUGAGCAGUACGAAGCAUAUCCUGAAUGAUCUUGACCUUGUCCAAGGCAUCCUGAACCAGAUCCGUACCCAACAAUCGAGCCUCUCCCCACUCAAACCAUCCAACUGGAGACCGACACCGCCUACCAUAUAAAUCCUCAUAAGGAGCCAUAUGGAUACUCGACCGAUCGUUAUUGUAGUAGGUAAACUCCGAUAAAGGCAAAAACGGAUCCCACGAGCCUCCAAAGUCAAUAACACAAGCUCUGAAUAGAGUACCGGGAACUACGGGCCUUCUCUAAAAUCAACUGUAGGAGUCUAUCCAUAUUAGGCACACAAGCUCGACCCUGAAAUCUCAAAUAUCCAUCAUCACCCAAGGUAACCUGCUUGGAACCUCCGUGCUACAUCGUGUCUUUGAGGACACACAAAUGGGGAUUAUCAUACUGCCGAUCUCGGAUACACUCCAAUAAUAAAGAACGAGCGACUGUGCAAGCUAACACAUGGUUGGGCUUAGAAACAUCCAACCUCAUAAAAUGAUUAUCCAGAUCCUGAAUAUCCAAAGCAAACGGUCUCUCAUUGACCGAAAUAUAAGCAAGACUGCUCAUACUGGUUGACUACCUACUCAAAGCAUCGGCUACCACAUUGGCCUUUCUCGAAUGAUAUAAGAUAGUGAUAUAAUAAUCUUUCAACAACUCCAACCACAUCCUAUGCCUCAAAUUCAACUCCUUUUGCUUGAACAAAUUCUGAAGGCUCUCGUGAUCUGUGAACACCUCACAUGCCACGCCAUACAGAUAAUGCUUCCAAAUCUUCAACGUGUGAACAAUGUCUACAGACUCCCAAUCAUGAACCUAAUAUUUCUUCUCAUAAAUCUUCAACUGUCACGAAGCAUAGGCAAUGACCAUGCCAUCCUGCACCAACACUGCACCAAGUACAAUACGAGAUGCAUCACAACAAACGGUAUAAAGCCCUGAACUUGUAGGCAAAACCAACACCGGUGUCGUAGUCAAAACUGUCUUGAGCUUCUGAAAUCUUGCCUCACACUCAUCCGACCAUCUGAACUGGGCACCCUUUUGGGUCAGACUGGUCAUCGGGGCUGUGAUUGAUGAAAACCCCUCCACGAACCAACGAUAGUAGCAUGCCAAUCCCAAGAAAUUCCAAAUCUCUGUAGUUGAUGCUGGUCUAGGCCAGUUCUUAACUGCCUCAAUCUUCUUCGGAUCAACCUGAAUACCCCCUGUUGAUACAACAUGACUUAGGAAUACAACUGAACUCAACCAAAACUCACACUUCGAGAACUUAGCAUAUAACUGACUAUCCAUUACGGUCUGAAGAUCACUCCAAGAUGCUGCUCUUGCUCCUCCCGACUAUGGGAACAUAUCAAAAUGUCAUCAAUGAAGACUAUAACGAAUGAAUCCAAAUAAUGAUUAACACUCGGUUCAUCAAAUCCAUAAAAGCUGCUGGGGCAUUUGUUAAUUUGAAUGACAUCACCAAGAACUCAUAAUGCAUGUACCGAGUGUGGAAGGUUGUCUUAGGGACAUCGGAUGCCCUGAUCCUCAACUGAUGGUAGCCAGAUCUCAAGUCAAUCUUCGAAAAUACCCUGGCACCCUAUAGCUAAUCAAACAAAUCAUCAAUCCUUGGCAAUAGAUGCUUAUUCUUGAUUGUAACCUUGUUCAACUGCCGGUAAUCUAUACACAUCCUCAUCGAUCGUCCUUCUUCUUAACAAGCAACAUCGGUGCACCCCAAAGCGAGACACUAGGUCUAAUAAACCCCUUAUCAAGCAAGUCUUGCAACUGCUCCUUCAAUUCUUUGAACUCAGGUAGGGCCAAAUGAUAUGGCGCGAUAGAAAUGGGCUGAGUGACCGGAGCCAAAUCAAUGCAAACAUCAAUAUCCCUGUCGGGUAGCAUACCCGGUAGGUCUGAAGGAAAUACCUUAGGAAACUCACAAAAAUAGGCAGAAUAUCUAUAGAAGGAACCUCGGCACUAGAAUUACGAACAUAUGCCAAAUAGGCCAAACACCCCUUCUCGACCAUACACUGAGGCAAACACAACAAAGCUAAGGUCACAGUCUUGGCAUGAAAAUCCAAGAUAGCGUGGUAAGAUGAUAACCAGUCCAUCCCUAAUAUGACACUGAAAUCAUCCAUGUCUAGAAGAAGCAAGUUUACACGAGUCUCAAGACCUCCAAUAUCCAAUAUACAUGAACAAUGGACGCGAUCCACUAUAAUAGAAUCACCCACCGAUGUAGACGCAUAGACAAGGGCACUCAAAGAAUCACUAGGCAUGAGAAGAUACGACGCAAAUAAGACCAAAGCUUCUCUACCACAAACCAAAACAAUACCUGCACCUCCACCUCUGAUACAUUUACCUCCACCUCUAGCAUCUCUACCUCAACCUCUAAUACCUCAACCUCCACCUCUAAUACCUCUACCUACACCUCUAGCUAAGUGAGUGGGCUAGACAAAUCCCUCAAUGAACCUCCUCACUCUCUCUCACAGUGGGAAGUAUGAUAAGAUCAUGACGAGCCAAGUCAAUGAAUCUAAUCUUGUACUGAGUAACAGUCAUAGAACCCUAUUGGAGACGCUCAAACUGCCUUCGAUAGGCCUCUCUCUGAGUGAUAGGGAUAAACUUCUCCAGAAAUAGCUGCUUGAACUGUUCUCACGUCAAAGGUGAUGACCUAACUGGUAUAGCCAAUCAAUAAUAUCUCCAAUGGGUCUUGGCGGAUCUAGAAAAGCGAAAAGUUGCAAAGUCGACCUAUUGGUCUCACGAUCCCCAUGUUCCUGAGAACCUCAUGAUAACUGUCUAGAUGAUGUCGGGGAUCCUCAGAAGAUGCAUAACUAAAAGUAGUAGUGAAGAGCUUGGUGAAACCUAUCCAACCUCCACAAAGCCUCCAAAGACGUAGCUGAUCUAUCACCGGUCUGUGCUACUGCUCGGCUAAAGAAGCGGUAGAUGACCUUGCUAUUCUUGAAAGGACAAUAAUAUAUGUUUCAAUUCAGCAUUGAGAGAACAAAAUCGCAUGACAAGGAAGAAUAUAAAUGAAACUUUUCCUAACUUUAUAGCCUUUGGGGAUAAAUACAGACAUCUCUGUACCGAUCCCUCAGACUCUACUAAGCUUAUCUGUGAACCGUGAGACCCAUGUAACCUAGAGCUCUGAUACCAACUUGUCAUGACCCGGAUUUUCCACCCUCGGAAGUUGUGAUGACGCCUACUAAUACGAUCUAGGCAAGCCAAUUAAUAGCAAAAUUUACCUUUUUACCCAUUUUAUAUUGAAUAACAAUUUCGAAGUAAUAGCAUUUAAACAGCGAAAGUUAACAUAACCGGAAGAAAAAACAACAAACUAUCUAAGCAUAAAUAUCUAGUACAACUGUUUGAGUCUUGACUACCUAGAACUGGUGUCACAAUUUCACAGACGGUCUAAGAAUACUACAAAUAAAGGUCUAAAGAAAUAAGUACAACAGUGUCUCUAGAAAUGCAUGAAAGAAACGGGAAUAGUAGAUAGAAUGAGAUGCCAAGGCCUGGGGAUGCCUGCAGGACUACCUUGGGUAACCUGAUGAUCAAGCAUCAUCAAUCUAACUGUUGUCCGAAGUCCACAAUACUAGGGUCUGCACAAAAGAGUGCAGAGUGUAGUAUUAACACAAGCGACCCCAUGUGCUGCUAAAUGCCUAGCCUAACCUCGGUGAAAUAGUAACGAGGCUAGGACCAAACCAUCAAAUACGCAUGUGCAGUUAUAUAAUAUAUAGUAGAAAGUAGCAAAGAUGGGAGGCGGAAACAUGCUUCGGGAAAUAACAUGUAAAAACAGAAUAUCCAGAGAACAAUAAAGGAAUCAAAAAGCCAACCACUAACAAGAAUAAGGAAAACAAAAGCAGAUUUCACUUUCUUUUCACAUCUUGUUGCAGGCAUGCAAGUCGAUCCCAUUUUCUGUAUCUCGUGGCAGGUGUGCCACCCGCUCCCAUUUCCUUAUGUCUCGUGGUAGGAGUACCACCCGCUCCCAUUUUAUUAUAUCUCGUGGUAGGCCCACUCCUAUUUUAGUAUAUAUUAUGGUGGGUUUACCACCCGCUCCCAUUUCAGUAUAUCUUGUGGUAGGCAUACCACCCGCUCCUAUUUCAUUAUAUUUCUUGGUAGGCGUACCACCCGCUCCCAUUUUAUUAUAUCUUGUGGCAGGUAUACCACCCGUCUCCAUUUUAUUAUAACUUAUGGUAUGCGUACCACCUGCUCCCAUGUACAAGCUAAUAAUAAUCAAAAGGAAUCUCGGCAAGGGAACAAUAGUAUAAACAAACAACCCGUUAAGGAAACAACGAUAUUUCAACAAUAUCCCGGUAAGGGAGAAACAACUAUAACCAAACUUGUUACAACAUCUAACUGCCUCAGCUAUAACCAAGCUUGUUACAACACCUAACUACCCGGCUAUAACCAAACUUGUUACAACACAUAACUACCUCAGCUAUAACUAAACUUGUUACAACACCUAAUUACCCAACUACAAUCAAACUUGUUACAACACCUAACUACCUCAGCUAUAACUAAACUUGUUACAACACCUAACACUAAGAAUCAUCAACCUAAUCAUUCGUAUUAUCAAUUAAGAACAUAAUUCAAAGAAACCACAACUCAACAAUAGCCCCGGCAAUGGGGCAACAUAAUGAUCUCUUCUCUUUCUCACUUUUACUUCACAACUCAAACCAAUGCUCAAGAGUUUCAAUAAUCACUUAUACUUUCACAUUUCGUUAUAUAACUGGAGCCAACGCUCCUCAAUGUUCAUAGGCCACAAUUCUUUCCACAACUUUACACAACAAAUAUAAAUCUUCAUCAAGGCAUGAAUAAUACAACGAAGUCAUGAAAAUCACAAUAUAAGACUCACGGUCAUGCUUGACACCGACGUAUAGAUACUCGUCACCAUGCCUAUAUGUUGUACUCAACAAGAAACAAAUAGCAAAUAUGACACAACUCCUAAUUCCUCAAGCUAAGGUUAGACCAAACACUUACCUCGAUACUACAAAUACAACUCAAGAUUCAAUAAUAGCUUUACCCCUUGAUUCCACCGCCAAUUUGUCGUAGCUAGUUGAUAAUAGGUGAAUUUAAUUAUUAUUAUUAGGCCCUAAAGAACCACUUUCUUGUAUAGUUUUGAUGAUAAAAAUGAUAACAAAAUGCUCUGAUUAGCGUUUUUCAUUUUUUGCAGGUUAUAUAUGACAAGAGAAGGCUAUGGAGUACCUUUGGAAACAAAUAUGGAGAAAAAAAGGCCACUCGUAACAUAUCCACCAAGUGAACCACACGAAGGCAGCUCAAUCCAUACCUGGAGAAGGAUCGUCAUGGUUCCACCGUAACCGCUGUAGAAAUGCAAUAGAGGACUGUCGCGGACAAGUUGAGAUUCAGAUAAGGUGUUUGGCCGUGUUUCCACCGUAAACGCGGCUGAACCACGACAGUGUGCAGGUGCAGACAACUGAAGAAUCAGAGAGCAUGUGUGGCUGCGGUUCUGGCGUAAUCCCGGAAGAACCGCCGCAGAGGCAGAAAAGUUCAGGGACCUAAGUGAAAACACAUGAUUUUUAGCCCAAAACCCUAUUUUAAACACUGGACUUUGCCCAAAUGAGGCAUGCAUUGAUUUUGAGAGUAUUUUGGCGAGGAAAACAAUUGUGAGAGAUCACCC
rnacentral:lncRNA from 1 species